rnacentral:lncRNA from 13 species
AAGAACGGCGUCAGUUUAUCUCGGCGGAGAGGGAGGAUUGGGCGCGGUUAUAUCAGAACAAAAAUAAGCCGAAAACGUAGCACUCUCUUUCCAGACGUAAUAAAGUAAUCUGAGAACUUUAGGGGAGAGAAAGUUGACAAAGGCGAAGCGUAAGAAUCCACUCGUCAAUCUAAUCGUGAUAAACGCAAUUACAUAUUAUUUCAUGGAUUUCGAGUCCAGUUUCCAGCCAGCCGGAAGGAUAUACACCUUUCCCCUCGUAUCGCGCGUAGGUAAUUACGCUUUUUUUUUCUAGAAAAUCA